CUCUCUAUCUCUCUCUCUCUCUCUCUCUCUCUCUCUCUCUCUCUCUCUCUCUCUGUGGACACUAAAAAAAAAACCGACGUCAUACACAUCGCAGAGGGGAGGGAUUCUCUGGAAUUUUGUGGAGAAGACGCACGCUCAGGAGUUCCUUCCUCCUCUGGAUCUCCUCCUCUGCGGCUGCAUUCAAUCUCGCCUACCCCCUGCGGAUUCCACCAUGACCAGGUCUUCUCUCUGAUCCUACCUCUCCCGACUGCCACUCAUGAGCACCUGCAAGAAAUGAGGCACUCACAUGCACAGAGAGAGCGAGAGAGAAAGAGAAAGGGAGAGUUCUGAAGAAU
rnacentral:lncRNA from 1 species